UUGACAUCAGGUAGAACAGGUUUGGGCGAGGUGGCUAAAGUGAGUCUCAAGCACUCAGUGAAAAGGAGAGCGAGAAAGAUUUUUACUGUUUCUGCUGUUUCCUUCAGUUUGUGACAUUAUUUUCACUUCAGAAGGAGAAAAAGAAGAAGAAGGAGCUGGGAUUAAACCAGUGAAGAGGUCUGUGAUUCCUCACACUACAACAGAGUGAAGAAGAAGAGGAGGAGAAGGAAGAAGGAGAAGACAGAGAAGAGGAAACACCUGUUGCCUUCAGACAAGUUCUACACAGAGCUCUCUCGCCCCCACUGGUUGAUUGGUUAGUUUCAACCACCACCAUGUCAACCAUCAACGUCUCCUUAGAUAAUCCGUAUGGUCAGGUGAACAUUCCGAGGGCUAAACUCCGCUCCUCCGAUGACCCCUCUACGGUGAUAGCCAAUCCGAUGGCUCUGGACAGUAACGUCGGCAACCCGUACAGCUCGUCGGGUUCUGCGCCGCCACCAUAUAUGGUAAAGGAAGACGGAGGGGAGGAGGACGAGGGCAGGUGCCGCGCCUGCUGCUACCGGUGCAGGCGAAAGAAGUGACGUCACAUCGGCAGGAAGUGACAUCAGAAAACGGGAUGUGAUGUCACAGCACCAGGGGCUUGGAUUAAUUUAUUUUCUGGUCAAUGUUUCUGUCUUUCCCCUGAGGAAUUAUCCAAGGAAGGAAGAAGGAAAGAAAGAGUCAUGAACGUCAGGAAGUUGUGGUCAUUUUUUGACCGUGUUAAAAAACUAUGUGAACCUCCUGUUUGUUCAACAAUUCAGACACAAUCUCGAGGUUCAUUUACUGAAUUAUUCCUGAAGAUUACCAGGCUCCCACCUGGAGGAAGAUCUAUGACACAGCUGAACUGAAGCGACCUCUGCUGCUGCUUCAAAAACCUUUAGCUCAUUUUAAAAUUCAUGUGAACUGAACAGAUUAUUUUAUGUUUGAUGUUUUUUUAUUAUGUUCAUCAGACGAUCACACACUCACAUUUUUAGAGAAAUCAUGCAAAUCUUAGUUUCACAGAUUGUUACAAUCAUUUAAAAAUACAAAUACGCAGAAUUUCUUACAUGAGGUCAUCCCAUUUUAAAAUUCCGUAAUCCUAAAAUUUAAAUGAAGUUAUUUAAUCUUAGUUUAAUAUUUGCUAAUCACAGUUUGUAAUGUGUUCAUACCAAUUUUAGAUCUCACUAAUCUCCACCUAAAUUGAGCUAAUCCCAGCCCAGUUUGAAGUUUUGCUAAUCUCAGUUCACUCAGACUCAGACUCUGUUUGACAUGAUUGAUUAUGAAAAUGAUGAAGACGAUUGAAUCUCAUUCACAUGGUUUGUUAACGGAUGUUAAUACUGUUUAUUUUAACAACAUGAUUUAUAUACACACAUAUACAGUAUAUAUUUGAUAUUUUCUUUAUAUAUAAUAUAAAUUUGCACAAAGUAUUUACAUGUUGUCAUGACGACGACUCAGGAUGAAGGUUUUGUUGAAAUAAACAGUUUUUUGUAUUAAUAUCA